rnacentral:rRNA from 1 species
GGAAUAUUGGACAAUGGGCGCAAGCCUGAUCCAGCCAUGCCGCGUGAGUGAUGAAGGCCUUAGGGUUGUAAAGCUCUUUUACCUGGGAAGAUAAUGACUGUACCAGGAGAAUAAGCCCCGGCUAACUUCGUGCCAGCAGCCGCGGUAAUACGAAGGGGGCUAGCGUUGUUCGGAAUCACUGGGCGUAAAGCGCUCGUAGGCGGAUCUUUAAGUCAGAGGUGAAAUCCCAGGGCUCAACCCUGGAACUGCCUUUGAUACUGGGGAUCUCGAGUCCGGGAGAGGUGAGUGGAACUCCGAGUGUAGAGGUGAAAUUCGUAGAUAUUCGGAAGAACACCAGUGGCGAAGGCGGCUCACUGGCCCGGUACUGACGCUGAGGAGCGAAAGCGUGGGGAGCAAACAGGAUUAGAUACCCUGGUAGUCCACGCCGUAAACGAUGGAUGCUAGCCGUUGGACAGCUUGCUGUUCAGUGGCGCAGUUAACGCUUUAAGCAUCCCGCCUGGGGAGUACGGUCGCAAGAUUAAAACUCAAAGGAAUUGACGG